UUGGAAUCUGAAUUUUCUGCUUGCACAGCCGUCAGCUAUGAUGGAGCAGCGAGGAGGCGCCACAUGAAACACAGAGACUGUUUGCAAAUCUCACUCAACUUGACAAAUUGCUUCAUGUGUUGAUCUGGACCCCAGAUCAGCAUUAGGGAGACCCUGGCAGACUCCUGCACUGACUGGAUCAUGUGUUUCCCCAACUAGCCGUCCAGACAGACAGACUCUGAGGCCCUUUAUAACCCCAUGCUGUCCCUGAAAACAGGCGUCCAUUGAGCCAGCCAGCACACUUUCCACAAUGUCACGGACUAAUUGAUGUUGAAGUGGGACUCUCCCUCUGUGAUUGGACUCAAUUAAAGUCACUGAGUGUCCCUGGUUCCAGAGCUGGAUGCUUCUGACCUGUGGUUGUUGUCCCACCAACUGGCCUAGUCUCCAUCAUGUCCAUUGUGGGAUGCUGCUGGUGACCUUCCUCCAGCCCACUGCUUCCAGCUGUCCAUUUCCACCAAUCUACUGUACAUCGCCCUUACCAUACUUAAUAUGCUCAUCUACACACUGUUUGCAUCUUAUUUACCAGCUAUAUAUGUAGUAUAUUUAAUGCCUGAGCCUUACACCAUAACAGUAAACUAUGAAUCAGUUUCAAUGUUGGCUUGUACUUUCAAUUCAAUUCAAUUCAAUGUUAUUUAUAUAGCGCCAAUUACAGUCAAAUUGUCUCGAGACGCUUUACAGAGCCCAUAUACCUGACUUUGUAUGUAUCAUCUGUUACUCUUAUCAUGCAUGUAUCGCAAGUUUCCUUGUCCCGCAUCCCCCUCUUCUCUUCUGGAUGGAUUUUCAUUGUAUUGUUUUUGAUAAAUAACAGCAUCUUUGCAGUUGACAGUGGAUGGCCUUCAUUGCUUCUUAUGAGGAACAUCAGUGGACCUUUAAUGGAAAAUUAUGCAGAACCUCUUGCCACUAUUUGUGUUGUGGUCUCUCUCCCUGUAUUUUCCCACAACCAGCCCCUUGUGUGUGUAAUAGGAUGGCUGCAAAGCUCUUGCCAUUUCUCUUCUGACAUUACACACAAACGGGAGCCUCAGUAUUUCUCUGUGUGACUUUUGGAUAAUACACUUGGCCCCUCUCAGCGUAAUAAAUUGUAUCUCCUCACAAUGUGAAGCACCAUGGAGCCAUGGAAGGAAUUAGUGCUUGUAGCUCUUCCUGCGGUCACUGAGGCCACACAUGUCUGUGUAUUCAGUGCUCAGGCUGUUUGUGAACCUGCAUGCAAAAGGUGGUGAAUGUGUCUUUGUUCUUGUUGAUAUGUCCUUAAUUUGUGCAUGAAUGUUUGAAUAUGCUUGUGUGUGUAAAAGCUUCACACAUAUUGUGUGUAUUUUGGUGUUUUUGCCACUCCUAACACCUCAACCUUUCCAGAUGAACCCAACAGCCUGGAGCAGGCGAAUGUAGCCUCUAUGAUAGUAUCUCCCUUCUAUUGUUUCAGCUGUUUACUUUCGCCUGUUAAGGGAAUUCCCUGCAUUCCACCACUCAAGGUACAUGUCAAGUACAUUAGCUCAUUUAACUUGGAAAGUCUAUAGUGUCUGACAGUUGUGCCACUGCUCCCUCCAAUUAACCAACAUGGAUCUUUUUAAAUGUGUAUAACAGUGUCAAGGCAAAUCAUAGCGGCGGGAAUAAAGGUCAGUCAUCAUAUAGAUCAUAUUGAAGCAGAUUUUUUGUUAUUUUGGCAUAGAUCUCAAUUUUUAGUUUGGGUUUGGUUUAGUUUGAAUUUAUUUAUUUUCUGUUAUAAAUUAUUGUGUUUUUUUUAGCCACAAUGGGUCUCAUUCAGGUAUAUAAGUAUUCAGUGGAUUGCAAUGAAGCAUUGCCAGAUGAUGUGUACCACUGACUUUUAUUCUUGAUGAUCUUUAUCAUCAAGUCAAUUCUUCAUUUUGUCCAGAAGUUUGAUUUAUUGCCAGAUAUUUCCAAAACUAAUGACAAACCCAUCAGCUUCAUUCUGACUUACUAAACCAAAAUGGUGAACACUAUACUGGCUGAAUGUCAAUGUGUUAACGAUGUUAUUAUGAGGUUGUAAGCAUGGUGGUAUUUAGUUCAUAGCAGCACUGUGCCAAAGUAUAUCCUCACAGAGCCCCAAGGAUGACUGUGAUUUGAAUUGUUUUAAAAUACAAAGCCUCCUAUAACAAGUACAGGGCAGUUAUUUUGUCUAAUGAAAACACCAGCGUGUGAUAACAAGAAAAGCACUCAGAGAACGCAGUUCUCCACCAAGGCUGCUCAGUCGUUGUAUGAUUUCCAAUGGAUAGUCCCAAUAAGUCCACACCGGUCAAUUUGUAGUUGGAUGGCAAUCAUGUGAUCGUCAGCAGGCAGCUGACGUAGUGGUCACUUAGAGUCAUAGUUACAGUGAUGCCAUAAUGCUAUCUCACAAUGAUACAGAAAUCUUUAACAAAUCCGUGGAUCCAGACUAUAAGCCACAUCACUGCCAAAAUUUAAUCACUUGGUCCUUGUGUCAUUUCUGACCUUCCUUGAAAAUUUCAUCCAAAUCCUUUAAUCCAUUUUUGAGUAAUGUUGCUAACAAACAGAUGGAAAGACAGACAGACAGGCACAUUCCUUGGUGGAGUAAUAACAAUAUAUGACAAGUGCUGUAAGACAGAGCCUAGAAAAAGUGCAUGUGUGCCCUGUAUAUCAGCACUGCCUGCUCCAAAACCCCCUAAAUAUAUCGAAUUGUUCUGAUUUAUUGCCACGCAAAACCCAUGACUGCAAUCCUUAAAGAGAUUAUUCAGUGUUCUGUGUUGGGACCAAAAAGUGCACAUCUUAGUUUAUGGUUUAACCUAUGGUAGCAGAUAGGCAAUGCUUUUUUCCCCCCUAAACCCUCCGAUUACAAAAGAGAAAGCAGACAUUCCCCAGCAGUGGAGACCUCCACAUUAACUCCAGAUGUUUGAUUGUUCUGUGUGGAAGAACAUUUGGUAAAUAGGCAGGUCAACUGGGGACAGCCGGCUACACUUUGAUCACAAGCACUAUAAGAUUUACCCAGUGAGUGAAUUAAUUAGAAAGCAAGACUGAUCUGGGCCUGAGGCCAGCUACUCAACUAACAAGACAGCGAGACUGUCCUCAUGUGGGCUUACCCACAUCUGAUGUUCCCCUGUCACAUAAUACACCACAAGUCUUAUUUUUAACCAGUACUUGUACCAUAUACUAAUUCCACAUCCAGAUUGGAAAACUCAGGAGCCAGUUUUAUUUGUUGUUGUAUA